AAUCAACGCUGGCGGCGUGCCUCAGACAUGCAAGUCGAACGAUUAAGACUCUCUUCGGAGAGUGCAUAAAGUGGCGCACGGGUGAGUAACACGUAAGUAAUCUACCCUCGAGUGGGGAAUAACGUCCGGAAACGGACGCUAAUACCGCAUAAUGCAGCGGCACCGCAAGGUGACAGUUGUUAAAGAUUUAUCGCUUGAGGAGGAGCUUGCGGCAGAUUAGCAGUUGGUAAGGUAAUGGCUUACCAAGGCUACGAUCUGUAACCGGUCUAAGAGGACGGUCGGUCACACUGACACUGAAUAACGGGUCAGACUCCUACGGGAGGCAGCAGUCGGGAAUUUUGGGCAAUGGGCGAAAGCCUGACCCAGCAACGCCGCGUGAAGGAUGAAGUAUUUCGGUAUGUAAACUUCGAAAGAAUGGGAAGAAUUAAUGACGGUACCAUUUAUAAGGUCCGGCUAACUACGUGCCAGCAGCCGC
rnacentral:rRNA from 1 species